rnacentral:tRNA from 1 species
GCUCCGAUAGUGUAGCUCGGCCAAUCAUUCGGGGCUCUCAAUCCCGUGACUCGGGUUCAAAUCCCGAUCGGAGCA